rnacentral:rRNA from 1 species
UACGGAGGGGGCCAGCGUUGUUCGGAAUUAUUGGGCGUAAAGGGCGCGUAGGCGGCCGGAUAAGUCUGACGUGAAAUCCCCCGGCUCAACCGGGGAACUGCGUUUGAAACUGUUCGGCUCGAGUCCGGGAGAGGGUAGUGGAAUUCCCAGUGUAGCGGUGAAAUGCGUAGAUAUUGGGAGGAACACCGGUGGCGAAGGCGGCUACCUGGACCGGUACUGACGCUGAGGCGCGAAAGCUAGGGUAGCAAACAGG